UACGGAGGAUGCGAGCGUUAUCCGGAUUUAUUGGGUUUAAAGGGUGCGUAGGCGGACUGUCAAGUCAGCGGUAAAAUUGAGAGGCUCAACCUCUUCCCGCCGUUGAAACUGGUGGUCUUGAGUGGAUGAGAAGUACGCGGAAUGCGUGGUGUAGCGGUGAAAUGCAUAGGUAUCACGCAGAACUCCGAUUGCGAAGGCAGCGUACCGGCAUCCAACUGACGCUGAGGCACGAAAGCGUGGGGAUCAAACAGG
rnacentral:rRNA from 1 species